GAUUCCCUCAGUAAUGGCGAAUGAACAGGGAUCAGCUCAGCAUGGAAAUUGGGGCCCUCGGCCUUGAAUUGUAGUCUCGAGAUGCAUCGCCAAUGGAGGCGCAGAUGUAAGCCUCUUGGAAAAGAGCAUCAACGAGGGUGAGAGUCCCGUUUGUCAUCUGCAGUCCCCCAUGCACGGCGUGCCUUCUAAGAGUCGCGUUCCUCGGAAUUGGAGCGUAAAUUGGGUGGUAAAUUUCAUCUCAAGCUAAAUAUUGGUUCGAGACCGAUAGCAAACAAGUACCAUGAGGGAAAGGUGAAAAGGACUUUGAAAAGAGAGUUAAAAGUGCCUGAAAUUGCUGAAAGGGAAGCGAAUGGAACCAGUGUUGCUUGGCGAGAUUGUCAUACGCAUUCGCGUGUGGUGGUUCUUGCCUUGUGUGUCAACGCCAGUUCGCGAUCGAGGAAAACUCUUGGGACAUGGUAGCCUGUCUUCGGGCGGGUGAAUGUGCCUUGUAGAACUCAUUUGCGGACUGAUUACUUCGUGUCUGGUUGCAGCGCUUCUUGUCGCUUGGACGUGCUUGGGCGUGGGAGCUUGCUCCUCGCGCCCAGCGCUCUGGUGACUGGGCGCUUCCCUGACACAUAGACGAUGACUAAAUGGUUCUUUUCGACCCGUCUUGAAACACGGACCAAGGAGUCUAACAUAUGUGCGAGUCCACGGGUGGUAAACCUGCUGGCGCAGUGAAAGCGACUGCUGGGAUUUUUGCACCAGCAACCGACCAAUCAAUUGAGAGAGGUUUGAGUAUGAGCAUAUCUGUUAGGACCCGAAAGAUGGUGAACUAUGCCUGAGAAGGGCAAACUCAGGGGAAACUCUGAUGGAGGCUCGUAGCGAUACUGACGUGCAAAUCGUUCGUCAUACUUGGGUAUAGGGGCGAAAGACUAAUCGAACCAUCUAGUAGCUGGUUCCCUCCGAAGUUUCCCUCA
rnacentral:rRNA from 1 species